UGAGUAACCUGCCCUUAACUCUGGGAUAAGCCUGGGAAACCGGGUCUAAUACCGGAUAUGACUGCCGGCCGCAUGGCCUGGUGGUGGAAAGCUUUAUUGCGGUUUUGGAUGGACUCGCGGCCUAUCAGCUUGUUGGUGAGGUAAUGGCUUACCAAGGCGACGACGGGUAGCCGGCCUGAGAGGGCGACCGGCCACACUGGGACUGAGACACGGCCCAGACUCCUACGGGAGGCAG
rnacentral:rRNA from 1 species